AAGAGCUAUUUCUUCUAUGGCCUCAGGUUCGUUUUGUUUUUAAAUAAUAGUUUACUCUUUUGCAACACAGAACUCAUUGCUCAGUAUGAGUUUUGAUACAUAUAAGAAGGAACAUG
rnacentral:snoRNA from 1 species